ensembl:snRNA U1 U1 spliceosomal RNA
AUACUUACCUGGUGGGGGAGAUAGCAUGAUCACGAAGGUGGUACUCUCAGGGUGAAGCUCGUCCUUUCACUCAGGUCAUCCUGAGCCCUUGAUUUCCCCAAGCACGGGGAACUCGGCUGCACAAUUUCUGUUGGUAGGGGACUGUGUACAUGCUUUCCUCUG